AUGCCAGACAGGUGAGCCCCAAAAUUGAGGCUGAGCCUGGGAAAGAAUUCAAGGACGAGCCGGUGUGUUAGACAGCAACUUUUAAUUUUUUGAGACAGGAUCUUUCUCUGUCGCCCAGGCUGGAGCACAGUGGUGCCAUCAUAGCUCAUUGCAGCCUUGACCUCCUGGGCUCAAGCAAUCCUCCUGUCUCAGUCUCCCGAGUAGCUGGGACUACAGACGUGUGCCACCACACCCAGCUAAUUUUUGUAUUUUUUUGUUGUAAAGACGGGGUUUUGCCAUGUUGCCCAGGCGGGUCUUGAACUCCUGGGCUCAAGCAAUCCGCCCACAUUGGCCUCCCAAAGUGCUGGGAUUCCAGGAGUGAGCCCCUGCACCCAGCCUAGACAGCAACUGUUACUAAGUGGCCAACCAGACCUGCAGCAAAGGGGCUGCUCCUUGAGAACAGGGACCACCCGACAGGCAGUGCACCCAGAGUCGCAGCUGAGGCAGGGCUGAAGUCAAAUUUAUACCCCAAAUUUUUUUUUUUUUGAGACAGGGUCUUGCUCUGUCACCCAAGCUGGAGUCUGGUGGCGCCAUCAGGGCUCACCGCAGCCUUGAACUCCUGGGCCGAGGUGAUCCUCCUACCUCGGACUCACAAAGUGCUGGGAAUACAGGGAUGAACCAGGGCAUCCAGCCUGCCCACUUUUACUUACAUGCAAAUUAAGGGGCGGUUUAUGCAGAAAUUUCCAGGAUGAGGGUGGCAACUUCUGGCUUGUCUGGUUGUUGCCAUGGAAAGGGGCAGUAACUUCUGGGUGUUACCACGGAAUGGUAAAAUGACAUGGCACACUGGUGGGCGUGUCUUACAGGGAGGUGCUUCCACCUCCCUGUAAGACACUUGUUUUAGCUAAUCCUCACUUUGGUCCAGUGUCCAAACCCCACCUCCGGAGUUGAGUCCUGCCUCCUACCUCAGGAGGAAGGCUGCCCCAACUGCUGGGCCCUGGGAGAGGCCGUUCUUCAGUGCUGGGAAUGCAUUGAGCAGGGCUGCACGCCACAGACAGGAGUGGAGCCCUCCCACCCCAACACACACACAAGGCCACCCAGCAGUCUUGUGUCCUGGGCAGAGGGCUGAUAUGGGGAGGGGCAGCCCCCAGGCAGGAGACAGUGGAAUUGUGAUGGGGAUUGCACUGAAUUUGCAGGUCAGCUUGGGGAGUGAUGCUGAGAUGACUUUCCGUUCAAUCAUGUCCUCUUCAUUUCCUUCAGUAAUGUUUUCUAGUCUUAAAUAUACAAGUCUUGACUUUCUUUGGCUACGUUUAUUCCUGAGUAUUUUAUUAUUUGCAGUGCUAUUGUGUGUGGAGCUGUUUGCUUAGUCUCAUGUUUGGAUUGCCUACUGCUAGCAUGAAAUACAACUGAUGUUUGUAUAUUGUGGAGACAGCCCACCGAGCAUCGCACCUGUCCUCCAGGGCCUCUCAGGACAGCCCAGCACGGUGGCUGGGCCUCGGGGGCAGACCAGCUUGCCCUCCCUACUGGAUCAUAUGCAGGCAGGACCCGGGUCUCUGGGUCCCAAGCUCUCGCCCCCGGCCUGUUUGCCCACCAGGUCCCAGGGACAACGCUGUCAACAGGCUCCUCCUCCCUGGGCCUGGCAUGGAAGGGCUUCUUGGUUCUGAGGCCUCAGCUGGUUCCAGCCGACCAACCCACAGCUCCCUGGCAGCCGCCACCCUGAACUGGAGUCUCGCCAUAACCCUGGGCUGCGGGCCCUGCUGGGUGAGGAAGAGAAUGCUUAGGUAGCUGCAGCUGCUGACCCGGAGGAGGAACCUCUCUCCUGGAGGCAUUCAUCCCACACUCUAAGGAAAGGGAAUGGACCACUUGAGCCCAGGAGUUCGAGGCAAGGCAGGACGCCCUGAAGGGAUGGGGCAGCUGUGAUCUGUGGGAAGUGGCUUCCUGCUCUACCCGUCUCGGAACAGGAGGCUUUGCCGUCCUAGAAACGCGUUCGGAAGAUGGGACACCUUCAGCUUACUCAACUCACCCGCUUAAAUCCCUGAGUUAAAAAAAAAAAUUAACUGAUCGUCCUUAGGAGAUCCCGGCAACAAGCUUACAUUUUUAAAAUUGAUAAAUAAAAGAAAAGAAUCAAGCUCUUAUUCUGUCUUUCCUAUGCAGAUGGGCCGCUGGGUAACCAAACAGCAUGAGAGGGAGGUUUGUCAUCGCGGAAGUAUUCCAGCCAGUGAACAAAGAAGGCAUAGCUGAGGGGAUAUCCACCUUCCGUGCCAGACAGCGCAUGUCAGCCUCCCAGGGGAUGCAAGCCUCAGCCCCGCAGACCUGCUGGAAACCUGCCUCUCUGGGCAUGGGAAGGAUCAGCUGAGGAGUGAGGAUGGCGGCGAUUACCCACAGCCUUAGCGUGACCUGCUCAUUUGCAGCACCAACCAAUGAAAGUCAACAGAAAAUGUGAAAAAUGGCAGUCCAUGCCAUGAAUACACGUCAUUUGAAAAAAGCGUCCGCGGGUGCCACUGGCACUCACACACACGCCCUCCACUUAAUGUCUCCACUUAAUACCAAGAACCUUCAGUUGAGAAUCUAUUUUAUUUUAUUAUUAUUAUUAUUUUGAGAUGGAACCUCACUUCAUUGCCCAGGCUGGAGUGCAGUGGUGCGAUCUCAGCUCACUGCAACCUCUGCCUCCUGGGUUCAAGCCAUUCUCCUGCCUCAGCCUCCCCAGUAGCUGGGAUUACAAGUGACCACCACCACAUCCGGCUAAUUUUUGUAUUUUAGUAGAGAUGGGAUUUCACCAUAUUGGCCAGGCUGGUCUCAAACUCCUGACCUCAAGUGAUCCACCCGCCUCAGCCUCCCAAAGUGCUCGGAUUACAGGCAUGAGCCACCAUGCCCGGCCAAUAAUCUAUUUUAAAUGAGAAAAAUGGCCAGGUGUGGUAGCUCACGCCUUAAUCCAAGCACUUUGGGAGGUCAAGGUGGGAGUAUCACUUGAGCCCAGGAGUUCGAGACUAGCCAGGGCAACAUAGUGAGACCCCCAUCUCUACAGAAAAUACAAAAAUUAGCCAGGCAUGGUGGCACACUGCUAUGGUCCCAGCUAUUUGGGAGGCUGAGACGGGAGGAUUGCUUGAGCUCUGGAGGUCGAGGCUCCCAGACUCAUGGCAGUGAGUUGUGAUCAUACCACUGUAUUCCAGCCUGGGCAACAGAUGGAGACCCUGUCUCAAAAAACACAAAAUUUUUUUUUUUUUUUUUUUGAGACGGAGUCUCGCUCACUCAGUGAGCUCACGAUCUCCGCUCACUGCAAGCUCUGCCUCCCAGGUUCACGCCAUUCUCCUGCCUCAGCCUCCCGAGCAGCUGGGACUACAGGCGCCCGCCACCACGCCCGGGUAAUUUUUUGUAUUUUUAGGAGAGACGGGGUUUCACCGUGUUAGCCAGGAUGGUCUCGAUCUCCUGACCUCGUGAUCCGCCCGCCUCGGCCUCCCAAAGUGCUGGGAUUACUUUUAAAAAAUGAGAAAAAUUACAAUGUUACUAUAAACCAGGGAAGCGUGUAUGCCAGUAACACACACGACACGCAGGUGAACUUAACAUUUCGUGCAGGUGGCGUCCUGAACGCAGGGUGGAGCAAAUCUCUCUGCAGGAGCCCCAGCCCCACCCUGGCUGUGCGCACGCCUCUUUGUUGGUUCUCAAACUUUGCAAAAUGCCCCCAUGUUAUUACAACCACUACACAUUGUUUCUGAAAUGUGACUUAAGACUUUUCCCAUACAUGGUUUUGUUAAAAUUCUCUUACUGAUUUUUGGGGAUAUAAAUACAACAUGUUCCUGUAUAAAUAUUGCUAGCAAGUGUAAUGAGAGACACAUAAGUUCUUUGAAGUUUCGGUAUUAAAAGCCCAGAGGUGGUCAAUGGCAGGUAUGUGACUCUUGUGGGUGUCCUGUGGGCUCUGCGUGUACCAGGCUCAGCUUCCGGUGAGGCAGUAUCUAGGAUCCAGAAGACCAUUCAAACAACCGCACACGUGGGAUAAGGCAAAUAUCAUUCAUUUGGCAGAAAUCAUAGCAAAAUUUAAUAACAAGCUGCCAAAUCAUGUCUGUGGAAAGCGAUCAUCUAUACUAAAUAUUACGAUGUGUUACUUAGAGGGUAAAUUAUCCUACCCAAUAAAUAAAAUUAUGGCAGAGGGAAUAAAGGUGAUGAUUUGGAAUGAGGGGAGUGGUGGUCCCUAGCAGUGCUCCCCAACUCUGCUUCAUCUUCGGGUGGGUGGGAGGGGCCGGACUGCCUGGUCCCAUCAUGGCCGGGAGGGGAACCGUGGCGGGGAGUCAUGAGGUGGUGCCAUGUGACCAGUAUUGGCCAAUGAGGAAUGAGAGGAGGUAUUUACAUGGCACCUUUACGCCAGAGCAUUUACUUACUAUUGCACGACCCUCCAGAGCCUCUGUGUCUCAUCUGGGAAGACCUGCAAUGUUCUAGGCAGCAGUCAUUCCAUCAGCCUGGGUCCUGAAGCAAAGACGGAAGAGAGAAACUCAGCCAACCCCUGCCAUGCAGUGCGAGUGAGAACAAGCUGUGGCUUUAAGCUGGAGACGCUGGGGUGGCUUGUGAACGUGACAUAAGCAAACCUAUCGCAGUGGAUGGACUUUGAGGCCAGGGAGGGGGAUGCUGCUACUGCAAACCCCACGGGACACUGACUAGUGGCCUGACCGCAAAGCACUUAUCAGAAGGGCAGAGACCAGCAUUAUGCAAAACACUUGGCAAAACUGUCUCCAAGAUAACUGGGAAGCAGGUUUCGAAUCAGUGAAUUUGUGUCCAAGAGAAGGGGUGGAAAUAUAGCUCGUGAAAUACGUAGGUCACUGUGGCCGCACGUGCAGGGCGUUGACAAGGGAAGGUGUGUCGGACUACCGCAAGCAGGACAACAACAAAUCCUGGAGGGGAGGAGAGAAUCUAAUUUCUAAAGUUGUCGCAUUAUGUUGUUUUAUUAUUUUUACGAUUGGUUUUGUUGAGACAGAGUCUCGCUCUGUUGCUCAGGCUGGAGUGCAGUGGCAAGAUCUCAGCUCACUGUGUCCUUGACCUCCCCAGGAUCAGGUGAUCCAUGCAUCUCAGCCUCCUGAGUAGCUGGGACGACAGGUAUGCACCGCCAUGCCUGGCUAAUUUUUCAUAUUUUUUGUAGAGAUGGGGUCUUGCUCUGUUGCCCAAGCUGGUCUUGAACUUCUGGGCUCAAGCGAUCUUCCUGCCUUGACCUCCCAAAGUGCUGGGAUUACAGAUGUGAGCCACUGCACGCAGGCCUAUAUCCUAUUAUAUAUAUAAAGUAUAUGUAUAUAUUUUUUUUUAAUUUUACAUUUAUAUAUAUUUUUUAGACAGAGUCUUGCUCUGUCGCCCAGGCUAGAGUGCAAUGGCGUGAUCUCAACUCACUUCAACCUCUCCUUCCCAGGUUCAAGCGAUUCUCCUGCCUCAGCCUCCGGAAUAGCUGGAACUUCAGGCGCCCACCACCACACCCGGCUAAUUUUUGUAUUUUUAAUAGAGACGGGGUUUCACCGUGUUGGCCAUCCUGACCUCAGGUGAUUUGCCCACUUUGGCCUACCAAAGUGCUGGGACUACAGGCAUGAGCCACCAUGCCCAGCCUCCAUAUUGUUUUAAAUGUCUGCUUUUCAGCAAAAAGUUAUAAGACAUGCAAAGAAACAAGAAAGUAUGCUCAUACACUGAAGAAGAUUGAAUCAACAUAAACAGCCCCUGAGGAAGCCCAGGCAUUGGACUUACUAGAUGAAGACUUAAAAUUAGCUAUUAUUGAAGAUAUGUUCAAAGAGCUAAGGGAAACAAUAUUUGAAGAGCUAAAGUAGCCGGGCGCAGUGGCUAACGCCUGUAAUCCCAGCACUUUGGGAGGCCGAGGUGGGUGGAUCACCUGAGGCUGGGAGUUCAAGACCGGCCUGGCCAACAUGGUGAAACCCCGUCUCUACUAAAAAUACAAAAAUUAGCCGGGUGUGGUGGCGCACACCUGUAAUCCCAGCUACUCAGGAGGCUGAGGCAGGAGAAUUGCUUGAACCCAGGAGACGGAGGUUGCAGUGAGCCGAAAUCAGGCCACUGCACCCCAGCCUGGGCAACAGAGUAAGACCCUGUCUCAAAAUAAUAAUAAUAAUAAAAAUAAAAUAAACAAAUGGUGCUGGACAAAUGGAUUCUACAUGCAAAGAAUGAAGCCGGACACCUUUCUCAUAUACCACAUACAAAACUUAACUCAAAAUGGAUCAAAUACCUAAAGAUAAGAGCUAAAACUAGUAAACUCUUAGAAGAAAACAGACUUUUUUUUUUUUUUUUUUUGAGAUAGAGUCUCACUCUGUGGCCCUGGCUGGAGUGCAG
rnacentral:lncRNA from 1 species